rnacentral:rRNA from 1 species
CGUGUAGGCGGGAAUACAAGUCAGAUGUGAAAUACUGUGGCUCAACCACAGAACGGCAUCUGAAACUGUAUUUCUUGAGUACUGGAGAGGAAAGCGGAAUUCCUAGUGUAGCGGUGAAAUGCGUAGAUAUUAGGAGGAACACCGAUGGCGAAGGCGGCUUUCUGGACAGUAACUGACGCUGAGACGCGAAAGCGUGGGGAGCAAACAGGAUUAGAUACCCUGGUAGUC